ensembl:lncRNA
ACGUUACCAUAGUUACGCCCUAACCCUUACAUGGGAAGGCGUCCAACUGCGAGCUACACAUGACAACGCACAUGACAACUGCUUUGUGUGUCUCGUCAACGUGCUUAACCAUGUCGGAAAAAAAAAGGAGAACAUCCAUUUGCAUCUCGAAUGAUUUACUUUAUUUACAUAUCACCGACGGGAUGCGGUUUGACUACCGAAAGCACGGCAACCACUGACAACACAGUCCACAUUUCUGCUUUACAUCUGGGCGCCGGACCCAGGCGUGCUUCAAAAGCAAUCAGUAAAAUGUCCAAAUCGGGCCUUCUCUCCCACAGCGUCCUUCUCCGAACUUCUCCUCCUGGCGGUGGCCGUCGGGGGCGGUAUCGCCGCCGUGGUCCUCCUCCUCGUCGUCAUCUUGUCCUGCAGGCGGUGCAAGAUGAGGGCACGCGGGCAGCGCGAGGGGAGCGAGGAGGCCCCCCGCAAAGAGAGGAAAGACCCCACCGCGUGCCACCCGUCGAGGUCCGUCCACCUGUACCUGUCGGAGCCGUCCAUGGAGAUCGACAGUUCGGACGGCAUGAUCUCGGACGCCAGCACCAAAAGCGAGAGCUCCUCGGAGGAAGAGGGCCGGAGCACUGACGAAGAGGACGACGACUCCGACUGAGGACGUAGGGACAGGCAGGGAGACGGAGGAGCCGACUGGGGGGUUGUGGGUGCCCGCAUGGCACCUCGGGCCGCCCCGGUCCACGAGCAGACCGGAGGAAGAGGGCGCUGUUUCCUCAAGCACGGUGUUCAAGAACGAAAGUCGUGCGAUGGAGGUCAAGCCAUCGAAGGCCGAGUGCGUCUUCUUUGGGGGGAAUCCGCGUGCGUCCACACGGCGGGAGAGGUUUGACCUGCGUGGCGCCGGAGAGAAGAAGGACGUGAUGGUCCAUGAAGCUGGCUACAAGGGAGCUCAAAGGGAAAAUGGCGAGUUCAAUGGUCAACGACUAUCCGUCGUCCCAAACGCGGAUCUUGUUAAGUGUUGUGCGUCUGCAAAAUUCAAAUGAAUGUGGCCGGAACGAAGAAAGCGGUUUUCCGCCACCAUCGGUGACAUGAAGCCAAUUGUAAAUUGGCUUAUUUGAUGAAAUUGCACUUUCAUGUUUCUUGCUCUUCUGAGUUUGUAUCUGUGGUCGAAUGCACUUCUUUUAAGUCGCUGUGGAUAAAAGCGUCAGCUAAAUAACAUGUAAUGUAAUGUAAUAAUAAAGAACCAAACAUUUCUGAGGGUGCUUAACUUAAAACCUUUCCUUGCUUGGCUUCAUAGGAAACAAUCUGCAGGAUUGACAUUUGCUUUAUCAAUUCAAAGGCAUUGCAGACGGUGCAUUUAUGCACAACCAUACGCGCCAGUCGAAGAGGAGCACCUUCACUUCCGCCUGUAGGCUUACGGGUUCAUGUAAAAAAAAAAGUAAAUACGUGAUCUUCUAGCCAGCAAACGUAUGCACGAACACUCAGAUCUGAAAACCCUUUGAUUGCAAAAUGUCCCCGAGAGGCUUUUAUCUCUGUCUGUGAAUGCAUUGCGUCGACUAACAAGUGAUUGUAACGCCGGCCUUCCUUCCUUUUGUCCUUGUGACGGAAUACUGAGCAAUGUGUGUAUAGAUUCUUUUUUUCCCCCCGUUUUUCUGUCAUAGGAUAAUACCAGAAGUAUUUUAUCACGUUGUGUAAAAAUGCCACUGUGUGUGUUUGUUGUAAGAGCUUUUUAUCCAUGAAAGACUUCUGAAUAAAAAUGCCUUUUAAUAUUUACCACAUUGGGUUUACGUACAUUUCCGCUACGCACAGGUGGGCGGAUGCAACAGCUCUGAGCGUGAAUAAUCAAACGUAAGAUUUGAGAGCGUAUCUAUUAUGUAAGAGGAGAACGCUACUAUCCAUCGUUUAUUAUGCACCAUUAUCUUUAAUGCAAUCCCCCCCAGUUGUGUGCUUAUGUUCUGUCUGCACAGCUCUUCACUUGUUUACCUGUAACCAUUACAGAAGUGAAUCAGUGUUUAAUUUACAAGAUGCCCGUCUGUGUGACUGCUGGCUUGUUUACGGGAGGAGACGGUUCAUGACUAUGAAUAUGUUACUCGUGUUACACGUCUGUGUGUGUGCGAGCGCUUGUGCGUUUGCUGAUCAAAGUCUAUCCCACGGGGCGUAGCUUUUCGUUACUCACUGACAGAGCGAAAUUGUCUGCGUGGUGCGCGUGCAGACAAAAAAAAAGACAAAUAAUGCCGUGUUGUAGUAGAGAAAGGCGGCUCGUAAUGAACUGAUUUAACAACAGUGGCGUCUCCGGAUAACCUGAUACCAUCAAACCGGGUUUAUUAGAGUUCAUUAGGAGACGGAGACGACGCGACAGACACGGUACGCUAGAUUAACAUGUCGCGCACGUAGUGGGACAACGUUUUCCUUGCUGGCGCGUUACCCCACAGUGACAGCGUGGUAAAGAGGCCGGAAUGCAACGCGACACGCAGACGCCCGCUCUCUGCCGUUUGACCAAAAGGCCGGUUUGGGCGAGUCCGGGGGGGAAAGAAAGACAUCGCUCAAUACUCGUCGGCUGGCAGAUGUGAGCUGUUGUUGCCAACGCCUCCUCCUGCUCAUGGGAUGAGUCAUUUAAUAAGCCGCUCUCGGGCCACAGUACGUCCACUACUGCAACGCGCACAAACGCUUCCCGCAAACGCCGGGCCUUUGUUUUGAUGAAAGGAGGACGCACACGUUGCUGCUCUGUCUCUCUCUCUCUCUCUUCUGUUGCUUCAUCUCUCUGCCGUUUAUUUUCCCUUUGCUGCAUUCCACCCUCUUGGACGGGUUGUACCUGGCACAUCAACGCGGAGAGGCCCUCGAUCCCUUGCGCGCAUACUUACACACACACACACACACACUCACUCACUUGUGACAC